GGGACGUCCGGAGGCCAGUGACCUGGAGGCGUUGGGGCUGUCCUGGGCCGUCACUUGAGAGAGAACUUCUCACCCCAGCCAGGGUGAGGGAGUGAGAGCAAAAGAAAGUUUUGAUAGCAGCGUAUAGUUUAUGUUCAGCUGUAUGCUGGGCAGGCCCAACUUGGCAUUUCUUGGCUGUAUCUCUGAAGGAAAGUCAUCUCAAUCUCUGUGAGCCUCCAUUUCCUCAGUUGUAAAAUGGGAGUAUCUUCCUCACACUGCUGUGGCCCGGAACCAUAUCCUGCUCCACAAGCUUCAUCCUUGGCAAGGAGUUGCACCUGCCCAGAGAGAAAACCUUUUGAAACUGGCACAAAGGCACUGGAGAGACUGGCAAGGCCCCCCACUUGACGAUCUGGCUUAUCCGUCUGCACACUGACCAUGCUAAGAGCUGUCUGCAGUGUUGGAAAACUUCUCUAGCUGUGCUGUCCUCUAUAGUGGCACCAGCUGCCUGUGGCUUCUGAGCACUUAAACUGUGGCUGCAGAGACUAUGUUAAAUUGUAUUUAAUCAUAAUUAAUUUAAUUUUAGUUUCUGUACUGGGCAGGGCAGGUGCACAUUUCCUGCCUGGCCACGGACAGUAAGCUCCAUAGGAGGCUGAUUGUGCCUGGUUUGCUUAUAGGCUUAUCCUCAGCACCUGCACCAGUCUAGAAUAUGAUUGGCACUCUAUUAAUUAAAAGUUCCCAGGUAAAUGAA